GUGUUAAGAUGUUAAAGACGCCUCUAAAUUUACAAGAAAACUUUAAGAUUAGAAAAAAUCUAAGUUUGACAGGUGAAGAGUGGCGCCAUCUAUUGAAUGAGAGAAGUUUGUCAAGUUUUUCUUCCAGCUUAAUCUAAAGACGAUAAUUUUUCUUCCACGACGAUGAUAUAUGAACCCCCUAUUAUUAACACCCAGUAUUAUAUUUCUUCAUAUCGACUGUCAAUCAUUUCAAACAAUACGUUUUUAAAAGUGACAAAAUCGAAAU